GCCCGGGUGGCGUAAUCGGCAGGCGCACGGAGCUUAAACCUCCGGGCCGCAAGGCGUGCGGGUUCGAGUCCCGCCCCGGGCA
rnacentral:tRNA from 1 species